rnacentral:rRNA from 1 species
UACGUAGGGCGCAAGCGUUGUCCGGAAUUAUUGGGCGUAAAGAGCUCGUAGGCGGCCUGUUACGUCUGCUGUGAAAUCCCGGGGCUUAACCCCGGGCGUGCAGUGGAUACGGGCAGGCUGGAGGCAGGCAGGGGAGAACGGAAUUCCCGGUGUAGCGGUGAAAUGCGCAGAUAUCAGGAGGAACACCGGUGGCGAAGGCGGGUCUCUGGGCCGAUAUUGACGCUGAGGAGCGAAAGCGUGGGGAGCGAACAGG